UAGACACAGGUUCUCGUAAGAUCACUUAAGUUAAGCAACGCCGAGCCUGGUCAGUACCUAGAUGGAUGAACAUUUGGGAAUACUAGGUGCU